CCAUAAUGGAGAAACGACAGUCAAAUAAGCGCUCGGUUUUUCGUGGUGAUGAUGAUAGCUGCUUCUGAUAUAUAUAUUUUUAUGUCCCCAAGGUGCUGUUCCAGUAACUUAUGACAUUCCCCGAAACCAACUAGGACCAACUGUCGAGGGAUACACCUGUAGCGCAAAUUCCUGGAUUCUGCAACAGCUUCAGAUGGGAAAGACAGGUUGUCGUAUGGUUUUGCAUGAGGGGAAGGACGUCUGGUAUGACAAUGCUCCUGACUACACGGCAGUCUCCAAUCCCUACCACGAAGCUUUCCGAAACUGCUUCAGCAAUGGUUGCUCGGCUGUAGCCUGCAAUGGAACCAUGAAUUUGUGCUGGCUGAAAAUAUAAACAGUAGAAGAAACGGGACAGAGUUUUGUGAAUGAGAGCAACAGAAAUUACUGGAAAACUGUCUGUCAGUAAAAGCCACAGCAGACUUCCCUAGUUGAGGAGGCAGUUAACUUGCAAUACCAUUCUGUUGUUUUACAGAUAUAAUUUCUUCGAAGUGAGGCGCAAUUUACUAAUCAUAUACACGUAAAUUAAUACUGAGAAUUAAUUACCUAGUAUAUUUGUACACUGCAAAACUCCAGUAAUAUAACGUUGAUGACUAGCUUAUUCGAAGAUGAUUCUUGAUACAUUCUCUGUGGAGUAUUAUGAAUUGAUCUUGUGCACUGCAAUAUGUAUGAAAGUGAAACGUGCACAGAGCACCCAGCCAGCACAACAACUUCAAAUCACUUCGAAGUACUUAACCUUGCCUGUGGAACAUCACUCGUUUUACUUGCCGCUUUUCACCCUUCAUC